rnacentral:pre_miRNA from 1 species
AAAAAAACAAACCCUAGAUUUUCGUAUCCAUUUUUGAUUGUCCGUCUUAUAUGAAAUUUUUUUAUAAUUCGUAUUUUCAUUGUUGUUACAUGAUUAAUAUUUUAUGUGUGACUUGUCUUUUUAAUUUUUUUAUAAUUUUUUUAAAUAAGACGGACGGUGAAAUGGUGAAAUGUUAAA